rnacentral:rRNA from 1 species
AGCAGCCGCGGUAAUUCCAGCUCCAAUAGCGUAUAUUAAAGUUGUUGCAGUUAAAAAGCUCGUAGUUGAAUUUCGGGGUUAGUAGGUUGGUCGUGCCACUGGUAUGUACUGGUUCUACUGAUCCCUCCUUCUUGUAGAACCGUAAUGCCAUUCACUUGGUGUUGCGGGGAAACAGGACUGUUACUUUGAAAAAAUUAGAGUGUUUAAAGCAGGCUAACGCUUGAAUACAUUAGCAUGGAAUAAUGAAAUAGGACGUUCGAUCCUAUUUUGUUGGUUUCUAGGAUUGACGUAAUGAUUAAUAGGGAUAGUUGGGGGCAUUAGUAUUCAAUUGUCAGAGGUGAAAUUCUUGGAUUUAUUGAAGACUGACUACUGCGAAAGCAUUUGCCAAGGAUGUUUUCAUUAAUCAAGAACGAAAGUUAGGGGAUCGAAGACGAUCAGAUACCGUCGUAGUCUUAACCAUAAACUAUGCCGACUAGGGAUCGGAUGAUGUUAAUUUUUUAAUGACUCAUUCGGCGCCUUA